GACGAACGCUGGCGGCAUGCCUAAUACAUGCAAGUCGAACGAACCAUCCUGAAGAUUGAAGCUUGCUUCAUGAUUCAGACCUUGGUGAGUGGCGGACGGGUGAGUAACACGUGGGUAACCUGCCCAAAAGUGGGGGAUAACAUUUGGAAACAAGUGCUAAUACCGCAUAACAACUACUUUCACAUGAUCGUAGCUUGAAAGAUGGCUCUGCUAUCGCUUUUGGAUGGACCCGCGGCGUAUUAGCUAGUUGGUGAGGUAAUAGCUCACCAAGGCAAUGAUACGUAGCCGACCUGAGAGGGUAAUCGGCCACAUUGGGACUGAGACACGGCCCAAACUCCUACGGGAGGCAGCAGUAGGGAAUCUUCCACAAUGGGCGAAAGCCUGAUGGAGCAAUGCCGCGUGAGUGAAGAAGGUUUUCGGAUCGUAAAACUCUGUUGUUGAAGAAGAACAUGCGUGAGAGUAACUGUUCACGUACUGACGGUAUUCA
rnacentral:rRNA from 1 species